rnacentral:tRNA from 1 species
GGGCGCGUCCAAGCAUGGCCAAAGGCGUAGGCCUGAGGCGCCUAUCCUGUAGAGGUUCGUGGGUUCAAAUCCCGCCCCCGUGCA